AGAUUUUUCAAUGGUCUUUUAAAAUCUAUUUCUUUUUUCUUUUUAUCCUCCCUCACCGCUCCAUGUGCGUCCCUCCCGAAGCUGCGCGCUCGGUCGAAGAGGACGACCAUCCCCGAUAGAGGAGGACCGUUCUUCGGUCAAGGGUAUACGAGUAGCUGCGCUCCCCUGCUAGAACCUCCAAACAAGCUCUCAAGGUUCUUUUUAAAUUUAAAUUCAAUUUGCCAACAUAUAACACCCAGGG
rnacentral:snRNA from 1 species